UUUCUCCCUUUUACUCCCUACUGCCAGUCUGACUGUCACCUUUUGGUGACUCACUGUCUUCAGGGUGAGUCCUUGAAGUCCAUUUCAAUCUAGCUUCACCUAUGUGAAAGUGUUGAGGGAAGAGGGGAAGAGACUCUUUUUGUGGGUGUAAUGGGGUGGCCCAGACCCUCUUCCCCCAUUUUGUUAGGAUUGGCUUUGGUACCAGUUUGCCAUCAAGUGAAGCGACAGACAUUUGAAGAGAAGAGACCGGCAUCAUGCUUCCUUCUCUUUCAGGAAUACUUUCAGGCUUUCAUUUCUCUGUUACACAAGGUUUGACCUGGUGUUCUUUCUGAUUUUGCUCCAAUUUAGUUCCAUUAUUUUUCUAGUUAUGGCAUGUCAAAAGAAGGACAAGGUAUCCUACCUUAUGAAAAUGGCCUCGGUUUUUAUAUCUCAGAAAUAACAAGUUGAACUUGAUGAUCUCAAAGGUCCCUUCUAGGCCUGAUAUUCUUUAGUCCUAUGAUUUUAAAAUGAUGAAAUUAGUUGAUUAAGAAAAAGGCAUAAUUACUCAGAGAAAGGAACAACUGCAACAGGUUGGGGAGAGAUUAUCUUUGAAAAAUUCAUCUAACAGAAAAUGAUUCUUCUGGCAGUGCUGGGUAAUAUAAUUUGCUUAAUGAGUCUGACCCUGGCAGAAUUUAAGUUUUUUUCUUUUUUUUUUUGCAGAAGGUAACUAAAAGAUGACUCUUUUCUUCCUGUUGUUGUUAACUGGCAGAAGACACAAUGAGAACUAACCAGUCAAUCAAUUAAUCAAUCAACAAGUAUUAUGUAAGCAAUUUUGAAUCUUGAGCCAUAGAACUAGGAUUUGAAUGCCAUUUCUGCCCUCUGUGACCUUGGAUAAUACUAUUUCACCAUUUUAUGGGGUGAAAACAGAAGGAACUAUACACUGCUUCUCAAAGGUUGUCAACUCCAACAAUCCCUACAAACUUGUGUGAUCUUGGAUAUGAAGAGUCAUCUAUGACAUUCUCCUGAGAGAUUGAAGAGGAGCCAAAAGUUUGGUCACUGCCUUCAUGACCCUAGAGGAGAUGUGGUACUGGGCUUAUGUACCUUCAGUGUUGUUGACUCAGAAACUUGUGCAGCAAUCCUAGAAGACUGAAGUGUCAACAGCACCUAUUGAUUCUUCCUCUAUCCUGUUGACAGAAAUUUCCAAGCAGUUAUAGUUUGUGUGACAAAAUUCACAUGAACCAAAAGAAAAAAAAAGAAUAAA